UUCUAUUUACAUUACCACGGCCUAUCAUGCCUCCUCAACCGCGUUUAUUCGUUGGUGCUAAGCGUUGUCCGUUUUUAUUGGUUAUUGUCCGCGCGCCGGUGUUUUCUUAAGUCUGAUGUGAAAGCCCCCGGCUCAACCGGGGAGGGCCAUUGGAAACUGGGAAACUUGAUUGCAGAAGAGGAUAGUGGAAUUCCAAGUGUAGCGGCGAAAUGCGUAGAGAUUUGGAGGAACAUUUUAGGCGAAGGCGACUGUCUGGUCUGUAACUGACACUGAGGCGCGAAAGCGUGGGGAGCAAACAGGAUUAGAUACCCUGGUAGUCCACGCCGUAAACGAUGAGUGCUAACUGUUAGGGGGUUUCCGCCCCUUACUGCUGCAGCUAACGCAUUAAGCACUCCCCCUGGGGAGUACAACCGCAAGGUUGAAACUCAAAGGAAUUGA
rnacentral:rRNA from 1 species